rnacentral:rRNA from 1 species
AUUGAACGCUGGCGGCAUGCUUUACACAUGCAAGUCGAACGGUAACAGGCCGCAAGGUGCUGACGAGUGGCGAACGGGUGAGUAAUGCAUCGGAACGUGCCCAGUCGUGGGGGAUAACUACUCGAAAGAGUAGCUAAUACCGCAUACGAUCUAUGGAUGAAAGCGGGGGACCGUAAGGCCUCGCGCGAUUGGAGCGGCCGAUGUCAGAUUAGGUAGUUGGUGGGGUAAAGGCUCACCAAGCCAACGAUCUGUAGCUGGUCUGAGAGGACGACCAGCCACACUGGGACUGAGACACGGCCCAGACUCCUACGGGAGGCAGCAGUGGGGAAUUUUGGACAAUGGGCGCAAGCCUGAUCCAGCAAUGCCGCGUGCAGGAAGAAGGCCUUCGGGUUGUAAACUGCUUUUGUACGGAACGAAACGGCUCUGGUUAAUACCCGGGGCUAAUGACGGUACCGUAGAAUAAGCACCGGCUAACUACGUG